CCCUUAGACGUUCUGGGCCGCACGCGCGCUACACUGACACAGGCAACGAGCUUUCCUUUACCGAAAGGUAUGGGUAAUCUUUUGAAACUGUGUCGUGCUGGGGAUAGAUCCUUGCAAUUUUUGAUCUUAAACGAGGAAUUCCUAGUAAGCGCGAGUCAUCAACUCGCGUUGAUUACGUCCCUGCCCUUUGUACACACCGCCCGUCGCCACUACCGAUUGAAUGGCUUAGUGAGGCCUCAGGAUCCGCGCUUAAUGUGUGGAGAAUUUGGACAAACUACGUCAUUUAGAGGAAGUAAAAGUCGUAACA
rnacentral:rRNA from 1 species